rnacentral:rRNA from 1 species
GAUAGGUGAAGAACUCUGGAAUGAUUCUCCGCCCAAAAGACGCUUAAAUCAUGCUUUUAGGCGCCGCCCAAGGAUGGGGCCGCGACCGAUCAGGUAGUUGGUGAGGCAACGGCUCACCAAGCCUUUAACCGGUGCGGGCCGUGGGAGCGGAAGCCCGGAGAUGGGCACUGAGACAAGGGCCCAGGCCCUACGGGGCGCAGCAGUCGCGAAAACUUUGCAAUACACGAAAGUGUGACAGGGCUAUCCCGAGUGCCAUCCGCUGAGGAAGGCUUUUACCCAGUAUAGAAAGCUGGGAGAAUAAGGAGAGGGCAAGCCUGGUGUCAGCCGCCGCGGUAAUACCAGCUCUCCGAGUGGUGUGGAUGUUUAUUGGGCCUAAAGCAUCCGUAGCUGGCCAAGUUAGUCCCCUGUUAAAUCCACCGAAUUAAUCGUUGGAGUGCGGGGGA